rnacentral:rRNA from 1 species
UACGUAGGUGGCAAGCGUUGUCCGGAAUUAUUGGGCGUAAAGCGCGCGCAGGCGGUUAUGUAAGUCUGAUGUUAAAGCCCGAGGCUCAACCUCGGUCCGCAUUGGAAACUGCGUAACUUGAGUGCAGAAGAGGAAAGCGGUAUUCCACGUGUAGCGGUGAAAUGCGUAGAGAUGUGGAGGAACACCAGUGGCGAAGGCGGCUUUCUGGUCUGUAACUGACGCUGAGGCGCGAAAGCGUGGGGAGCAAACAGG